rnacentral:rRNA from 1 species
UACGAAGGGGGCUAGCGUUGUUCGGAUUUACUGGGCGUAAAGCGCACGUAGGCGGAUUUGCCAGUCAGGGGUGAAAUCCCGGGGCUCAACCUCGGAACUGCCUUUGAUACAGCAAGUCUUGAGUUCGAGAGAGGUGGGUGGAAUUCCUAGUGUAGAGGUGAAAUUCGUAGAUAUUAGGAAGAACACCGGUGGCGAAGGCGGCCCACUGGCUCGACACUGACGCUGAGGUGCGAAAGCGUGGGGAGCAAACAGG